GGCUCGUCCAAGUGUGGUGGCGUUUACAACUAAUUGAUCACAACCAGUUACAGAUUUCUUUGUUCCUUUUCCACUCCCACUGCUUCACUUGACUAGCCGAAA
ensembl:Y_RNA Y_RNA Y RNA